CCCCAAUGCAGUAGUAUUGAGAGUUAUGGUCUUUAAGAGGUGAUUCAGCUCUCCGGUGCGUGCCUCCAAGAUGACAAAGAAAAGAAGGAACAAUGGUCGUGCCAAAAAGGGCCACAGCCACGUGCAGCCUAUUUGCUGCACUAACUGUGCCUGAUGCAUGCCCAAGGACAAGGCCAUUAAGAAAUUCGUCAUUUGAAACAUAGUGGAGGCCGCAGCAGUCAGGGACAUUUCUGAAGCGAGCGUCUUCGAUGCCUAUGUGCUUCCCUAGCUGUAUGC
rnacentral:lncRNA from 1 species